GUUUCCAGUAUUCGUGAGUUUCCUGUUCGGGAGUUGGAGAAUUCAUGUAGUUUGCAGUUCGGGAGAUUGGUGAUUGCAGUAGCUGUCUGUACAUCUGAAAGGGGAAUAUCGCCUAAACGGUUUUUAACCUCUUGUGGGCAAAACGGUCCGUUACAGCAUCACUGAGCUAAACCUGUUUAAACUAUAAAAUUGUGGUACAUAAUCCAAUGUUUACGCUAACUGAGAACCUAUACUGCUGCAAUUUUGUUCUCUCUAACCUGAAAAAUGUGCCUGACUAUUGAUUACCACAACCCAUACAGCAAAUGUUUAUUAUAAUAUCCUGAUAUCGCUGUUGUGGCACACCAAGGCUUACUGUUACUUUUGUGCACAACGAAAAUAACGAUUUUUUUUAAAAAGUGAAGUUCUGUUUGUAUUAUUUUUAAACUAAAUAAAAGACCACGGCCUUUUCAGCACA